CCUCAUUUUGUUGAGCUUCUGCUUGAGCGUCUGGGUGUCUGAGAUUGUUGGCUAGCAUCUACAUAAUAUUAUCUAUUCAAACAAUAUAUCCCACCUAUCAGGAGAUGACAUGCCAUCUAUAAAUUCUUUAUGAUAACUUUUUUGUAGUUCUACUAUUACAGCAAUUCUUUUGAUAAUUAAAUAAAAUUAAUUAUUAAAUAGAUUCAAAUAUUUUUUUUUUUCAGUUUUGAACACAUCAUGUUAGACGUUUAGUUUCACAUAAAGCUAUAUCC
rnacentral:lncRNA from 1 species